UCAGAUUGAACGCUGGUGAUGCUUUACACAUGCAGUCGAACGGCAGCACGGACUUCGGUCUGGUGGCGAGUGGCGAAACGGGUGAGUAAUGUAUCGGAACGUGCCUAGUAGCGUGAUAACUACGCGAAAGCGUAGCUAAUACCGCAUACGCCCUUCGGGGGAAAGCGGGGACCUUCGGGCCUCGCACUAGAGCGGCCGAUAUCGAUUAGCUAGUUGGUGGGGUAACGGCUCACCAAGGCGACGAUCCGCAGCUGGUCGAGGACGACCAGCCACACUGGGACUGAGACACGGCCCAGACUCCUACGGAGGCAGCAGUGGGGAAUUUUGGACAAUGGGGGAAACCCUGAUCCAGCCAUCCUUGCGUGUGCGAUGAAGGCCUUCGGGUUGUAAAGCACUUUUGGCAGGAAAAGAAACGACACGGGAUAAUACCCCGUGCAACUGACGGUACCUGCAGAAUAAGCACCGGCUAACCACGCCAGCAGCCGCGGUAAUGUCGUAGGUGCAAGUGUUAAUCGGAAUUACUGGGCGCAAAGCGUGCGCAGGCGGUUCGGAAAGAAAGAUGAAAUCCCAGAGCUUAACUUUAAACUGCAUUUUUAACUACCGAGCUAGAGUGUGUCAGAGUGGAGUGUGGAAUUCCAGCGUGUAGCAGUGAAUGCGUGGAUAUGCGGAGGAACACCGAUGGCGAAGGCAGCUCUCCUGGGAUAACACUGACGCUCAUGCACGAAAGCGUGGGGAGCAAACAGGAUUAGAUACCCUGGUAGUCCACGCCCUAAACGAUGUCAAUCUUCUAUUCGUUGGGGCCUUCGGGCCUGGUAGCGCAGCUAACGGCAGUGUUGACCGCCUGGGGAGUACGGUCGCAAGAUUAAAACUCAAAGAAUUGACGGGACCCGUAUGCAAGGGUGAUGAUGUGAUUAAUUCGAUGCAACGCGAAAAACCUUACCUACCUUGACAUGUUCGAAUCCCGAAGAGAUUUGGGAGUGCUCGCAAGAGAAACCGGGAAAUGACAGGUGCUGCAUGGCUGUUGUCAGGGCUCGUGUCGGAGAUGUUGGGCGGAAACCGGCAACGAGCGCAACUCCCUAUUACGAAGCAUGAAAGGGCACUCUAAUGAGAUCGCCGGUGACAAACUGAGGAAGGUGGGGAUGACGUCAAGUCCUCGCGGUUCUUGCGGUAGGGCUUCACACGUCAUACAAUGGUCGGGACAGAGGGUCGCCAACCCGCGAGGGGGAGCCAAUCCCAGAAACCUGAUCGUAGUCCGGAUCGCAGUCUGCAACUCGACUGCGUGAAGUCGGAAUCGCUAGUAAUCGCGGAUCAGCAUGUCGCGGUGAAUACGUUCCCGGCCCGUACACACCGCCCGUCACACCAUGGGAGUGGGUUUUACCAGAGUAGUUAGCCUAACCGUAAGGAGGGCGAUUACCACGGUAGGAUUCAUGAUCAAAGGAAGUCGUAACAAGGUAGC
rnacentral:rRNA from 1 species